GAUGAACGCUGACAGAAUGCUUAACACAUGCAAGUCGAUGGGGAAGUGGUGCUUGCACCAUGGUAACCAUGGCGGACGGGUGAGUAACGCGUAAGGAACUUGCCUGCGGGACUGGGAUAACAGCAGGAAACUGCUGAUAAUACCGGAUAAGGUCAUUAAGCCGCAUAGCUUAGUGAUGAAAGGAGACGCCUGCGGAGAGCCUUGCGUCCUAUUAGCUAGUUGGAGGGGUAACGGCCCACCAAGGCGAAGAUAGGUAGCCGGCCUGAGAGGGUGGACGGCCACAAGGGGACUGAGAUACGGCCCUUACUCCUACGGGAGGCAGCAGUGGGGAAUAUUGGACAAUGGGGGCAACCCUGAUCCAGCAAUUCUGUGUGCACGAAGACGGUUUUCGGAUUGUAAAGUGCUUUCAGCAGGGAAGAAGGAAGUGACGGUACCUGCAGAAGAAGCGACGGCUAAAUACGUG
rnacentral:rRNA from 1 species